rnacentral:rRNA from 1 species
CCUGCUCAAUGACAUUUAAAUAGCCGCUUUUAGUGCUAAGGUAGCAUAAUAAAUGACUCUUUAAUUAAGAGAUAGAAUGAAAGGAAAAACGAUUUAUUAAUUGUGUCAAUCUAUUAAAAUAAAAUUUCUUCUAUAAGUAAAAAUCCAAUUAAUUAACAACAGGACGACAAGACCCUAACGAACUUUUUAUCCAAUUUUACUGAGAAGGUAAAAAACAAAAUCUUUAUUUUCAUUCAGUCUACGCACUAAUCGAAUAAAAUUAAGUUACCUUAGGGAUAACAGCAUAAUAAUUUCGUAAAGCUCAUAUAGAACAAAUUAAUUAUGACCUCGAUGUUGAAUUAACCAUUCUAUUUACAGAAAAAAGUAAAAAAGAGAGUCUGUUCGACUCUUUAAACGUUACAU